rnacentral:rRNA from 1 species
GACGAACGCUGGCGGCGUGCUUAACACAUGCAAGUCGAACGGAAAGGCCCUGCUUUUGUGGGGUGCUCGAGUGGCGAACGGGUGAGUAACACGUGAGUAACCUGCCCUUGACUUUGGGAUAACUUCAGGAAACUGGGGCGAAUACCGGAUAGGAGCUCCUGCUGCAUGGUGGGGGUUGGAAAGUUUCGGCGGUUGGGGAUGGACUCGCGGCAUAUGAGCUUGUUGGUGGGGUAGGGGCUUACCAAGGGUUUGACGGGUAGCCGGCCUGAGAGGGGAGCCGGCCACCAGGGGACUGCGGGACGGAGCAGACGGCUACGGGACGCAGCAGUCGGGAAUAUUGCACAAUGAGCGGAAGCCAGAUGCAGCAACGCCGCGUGCGGGAUGACGGCCUUCGGGGUGUAAACCGCUUUCGCCUGUGACGAAGCGUGAGUGACGGUAAUGGGUAAAGAAGCACCGGCUAACUACGUG